GGUGUCCCGGGGAAUCCAGGUGAACGAGGACCUCCAGGGAAGCCGGGUGCAUCUCCUAUCCUUUCUCCCGGUGACAUCAACCUCUUGGUGAAGGAUGUCUGCAGUGACUGUCCCCCUGGGCCUCCCGGUCUUCCCGGAAUGCCAGGAUUCAAAGGUGAUCGAGGCCCUCCAGGCCCCCCUGGACAUGAAGGCCCGGU